CUUCCUGGUCACGUGACCAAUUUAUCAAUGAGACGGUGAAGCUGUGGUCUUGAUUAGCUCAGGCAGACACCUGCUGGGGAGGCGAGAAGAAAGAGACGCCGUUGUCAGAAGCCGUGAAAAAGACAUUCUUGCGAAGUUUUCCCCUUUUCCCGUUGAGUUUUGUCGUGUGUUAUAUAUGUCAACUUAAAUAUGAACUGUCAUCCGAAACCCUGAGGGGUAACGAGAAGGAAGCAGCGUGAGCUGGUCCCGGAGCCGUGAAUGGUGUUCUGGAAAGAAGUCGGCACAGGUUCAUGAGAGCCCGGCUGGAGGACUGGCCUUUACUCCUCUCCCUCACGUCCACAAAGGACUGAGAAAAGGCCACGCCAUACGCAAUGUUAUCACUGCAGCCAGACCAUUGGAACCCUGGGACAAGAAGUUAUGAUGGAGGUCAUCAACAGUGCAUUAAAUAAAUACACUUGACCUCUG